GGCGAUGCCCCUUUGCCUGGGAAGCUCAGUAGCAGACAGUCCUCCAGCCUCCUCGGAACCUGCAUGGCGCAGAGAAAAGCCCCGCGCGGUGGGGGGAGGCGCGUGGCGUGUCCCGGUGUCUGCGGCUCUGAGCUUCCCGCAGUUACAAACGGCUGUGGGACGGUGAGGGGAGGGCUAGCGGUGCAGUCCCAGCCCAGGGGCCAAAGCCCCGUCCCCAGAGUGGGAUGCUGCAGCAGGGAAAUAGUGCGUGGAAGCCCUUCCUUGCAGGCCUGUUCCUACAAAUCCUGCAAUCCACAACCACCUCCUUCACUUCAGCAGAAAGUUUCUUAGCUCACGGUGCCAGUUCUUACGUCGAAAGAGUCCUGUGUCUACACUGGAGGGUGGAAAAAUUCCCCUUUUCUGAUGUGGUUUUCCCUUCUCUCUGGAAAAACAACCUUUCUAUGGCCAUAGAUAUCCUGCUGCACAAAGAGGAACAACCAGUACAGCCUAAGAUGGAUACCCUUCUACAAAUGGUUGACGUUUCAACUGUGGUUGGUUUUCUUUGUACCCCUCCAUUGUAGAGGAGUCUGUUUUUUGCUUUCCAUGCUGUCACUUUGCUUCUCAAACCACAGUUGGACCAGGAGAACAAUUCAACAACAGAAGAUUAAUUGAGUGUGGCUUUAAGAAACGGAAAGAUUUUCAUAGUUUGUUAAAACAACAUUCACUCAGUUCCAGGCAUCAAGCAGCUUUCAUUUCGUGGUAAAACUACUUGACAAUUAGGAUCAGCAGUUUGAAAAGUGUCGCAGAUCAAUUUGUUUCCAGUCAUCAGGCUGUCAUAGCUGAAAAUUGCCAGCAUAUUGAAACACUUUUACAGGUCUCCAUGCUCUGUGCAAAACAGGGUAUUGCUUUUUGGGGGCAUGAUGAAACACACAACUCUAGCAAUAAAGAAAAUUUCAUUGGAAUGCUUGAGCUGGUUGCUUCUGCUCAGCCCCAGCCUUUUGAAUCAACUAAGAAGCAGGUAUGGACACGAUACCUCUCACCAGUACCAGAACGACUUGAUACAUGCUGCUGCAGCAGUCCUGAGAGAAAGCGCUGCUGAAGAGGUCAGACAAGCCAAGUAUUUUUCUGUCCGUGUUGAUGAAACUAAAGAUGCAUCAAGAAAAGAACAGCUGUGUCUCCUUUUACGCUGCCAUUGAAAAGGAAUCCUUCAGGAAAGAUCUGUGGGUUGCUUCCACAUGGAAAUCUAAAUGCUGAAUUUGUUUCAAAAAGGAUUAUUGAAGAGCUACAGCAUUUGAAGUUUGAUAUUAAUUACAUCGUUGCCCAGUGCUCUGAUGCAGCUUCUCUGCUGAGUGGGCAUUUAACAGAUGUACAAGCUCGCACUCAGGAAAGGAUUACAUUUAUGUGCACUGUCAUGCUCACAGGCUAAAUCUUGUCAUUGCAGGCACAUGUUCCAGCAUCACCCAAUGUCAGGAAGUCUUUGCGUUUGCUCAGGACCUGUACAUCUUUAGCAGUAGUUGCAGGCAACAUGAACUGUUUAAGGCACAGCAGGAGCUAGGCCAGAAGGUGCUUGAGCUAGGUAGAUUAUGUGAAACUCGCUCAUGCUGGUUUGACUCCCUCCAAAAACUGCAUGCAAGAUGGAAACAUGGGAGCCAUUUCAGUUCAGAGAGCUGAUGGCCCAUCGGCUAGCACUGGCGAGGGUUUGAUGGCAAGGCUAAAGUGCUAUUCCUUUCUAUUGAGGCUCUUGGUUUCGGGAAGAAUAUUCAAAAUCUUGAAUAAUAUUUCAGAAUUACAAAAUGAAAACCUGAAUUUAUCUAAUCCCAUGAAUUAGUAGCAAUCAAUGUUGCUGCUCUUCAAGAAAUGAGAACAUCUGAAAGCUAAUGGAAGGAGCUAUGUGAUGAAGCUGAAAUCAUUGCCAAGGAAUUUGAAAUUGCUAUUCCGGGUCAGGCAGUCGCAACAGCUGAGCACAGCAGUACAAAAACGGCAAUAAGACCUAAAAAAAAUAACUUCCAAGCUGGCCUUGUUUUUUGUUUUUAGUACACUGGUUCAGUCAUCUCCACAUGAUGUUCCCAAGAGCACUCAUGAAUCUAUAAAAUCUGAUUUUUACUAUCCUGUUUUGGACAGUAUUCUUGCAGAGCUCGAUAGACGAUGCACCUUCAACUCCAGUUUGCUUUCUGUACUAACUGCGUGUGACCCAAAGAGUGAAAAUUUUCUUGCAUAUGAGAAACUGAAAAUAAUUGCAAAAUAAACUGAAAACUAUGGAUCAACAGGCACCGAUUUUUGACAGUCUGGAUGCAGAAGUCGAAGUUGCUGAGAAGCACAUUGCACCAAAAAAUGGACUUCAAUUUCUGAAUUCUGGAUGUUCUCAAGGACUUACCAAGGGCUUUCCAGUCUUUGCUGUCUAUUGUAGAUAUUGUGCUGAGCCUUCUAGUGUCUGCAGCAUCAAAAGGAGAGGUAUUUCUCUGUGCUCAGAGAGUAAAGAACUACUUAGGAUCCACAGUGGGAGACAAGCGCUUAGAUGACUUGGUAAUUUUAGCCUGCGAACGUGAAGCUUCAGAACACCUGGAUAUCAACAAGGCCAUUGACCAUUUUGCCAAGAUGAGAAGACGGCGUUAUCUAUUGUGUUAGCUCCUAUCUGGAGUGUUUUGUUUUGUUUUCAAUAAUUUAUUUACCUGUAAAGAAAUUAACUGUCUCAUUCACCUCUUCACAAAUUGGAAUAUAAGACAUUUAAAAAACAA